rnacentral:rRNA from 1 species
AUUGAACGCUGGCGGCAGGCUUAACCCAUGCAAGUCGAACGAUUGGCGGACGGGUGAGUAAUGCUUGGGAAUCUAGCUGAUGGAGGGGGAUAACUACGGGAAACGGUAGCUAAUACCGCGUACUAUAGGCUGAGCCCAAGUGGGAUUAGGUAGUUGGUGAGGUAACGGCUAACCAAGGCGACGAUCUCUAGCUGGUCUGAGAGGAUGACCAGCCACACUGGGACUGAGACACGGCCCAUACUCCUACGUGCGGCAGCAGUGGGGAAUAUUGCGCAAAGGGGGCAGCGUGACGCAGCCAGGCCGCGUGUAUGAAGAAGGCCUUCGGGUUGUAAAGUUCUUUCGGUGGCGAGGCGUUAACUGCAGAAGAAGGACCAGCUAACUCCGUGCCAGCAGCCGCGGUAAUUC